UACGUAGGGUGCGAGCGUUAAUCGGAAUUACUGGGCGUAAAGGGUGCGUAGGCGGUUCGUUAAGUCUGUCGUGAAAUCCCCGGGCUCAACCUGGGAAUGGCGAUGGAUACUGGCGAGCUAGAGUGUGUCAGAGGAUGGUGGAAUUCCCGGUGUAGCGGUGAAAUGCGUAGAGAUCGGGAGGAACAACAGUGGCGAAGGCGGCCAUCUGGGACAACACUGACGCUGAAGCACGAAAGCGUGGGGAGCAAACAGG
rnacentral:rRNA from 1 species